CCUACGGGAGGCAGCAGUAGGGAAUAUUGGGCAAUGGAGGCAACUCUGACCCAGCCAUGCCGCGUGCAGGAUGAAGGCGUUAUGCGUUGUAAACUGCUUUUAUAUAGGAAGAAAGAGUUCUUGCGAGAACAGUUGACGGUACUAUAUGAAUAAGCACCGGCUAACUCCGUGCCAGCAGCCGCGGUAAUACGGAGGGUGCAAGCGUUGUCCGGAUUUAUUGGGUUUAAAGGGUGCGUAGGCGGUUUAUUAAGUCAGUGGUGAAAGACGGUCGCUCAACGAUUGCAGUGCCAUUGAUACUGGUAGACUUGAGUGAGAUUGAGGUAGCUGGAAUGGAUAGUGUAGCGGUGAAAUGCAUAGAUAUUAUCCAGAACACCAAUUGCGUAGGCAAGUUACUAAGUCUCAACUGACGCUGAGGCACGAAAGUGUGGGUAUCAAACAGGAUUAGAUACCCUGGUAGUCCACACUGUAAACGAUGAUAACUAACUGUUGGCUUUCGGGUCNGUGUACAGAGAAAUCGUUAAGUUAUCCUAACCGUGGGUAGGUUACGGCCGGUCCGACGGUUAGAACGUUACGAAGUUAGAGUUAGACGGCGUUGGAGACGUUCGCCGACGGACGACCGACGAGGGAGGUAGGAG
rnacentral:rRNA from 1 species